rfam:Dipodomys ordii contig_7621, whole genome shotgun sequence.
GGUGACUCGGUGGUAGAGUGCUUGCCUUGCAUGCAUGAGGCCCUGGGUUCAAUUCCUCAGCACCA